CCUCCAGCUCGGCCAAUGCCAACUCAUUGCUGGCACGUGUCCGGAGACCAUCCAGCUCCUUCCUGUGGGCCUGCAGCACCAGCUCUGUCAACCGCGUGAAAGACUGGGAAACCAAGGGUCACAGCAACAGAGAAGACCCGUAACAGCAAGAGACCAAUGACGCCGUCUUCCCCCUGGGUGACAAGUAAGGGGACAAAUGGGGAGAAUGAUCCAGAAGGAGACAAAUCUCAAGAGAAGAGUCAAGACAAAGGCUCUUGGCACACCAAUGUCACACCAGGGACACAGCCUCGCUGUCUGCUGGACCACACGCUACCACCUGACUUCCUCCUCUUACCCAAUUGCAGACUGAUGGUCCCUCAUGCUGGCCUCAUCCUGGGGAGAAGGCGCACCAGGCUCUCUGGGCAAAUGCAUUACUCAGCAUUUGCACUGUCUUGCUCUGGGAGGGAUGGGAAGCAGAAAUAAAAGAGGCAGCCCUGGUCUUUGGCAGACAGAACCCUGAUCCUCUAACUCCAAGGCCAUGUUUUAACCUCCAGGACAUUGAGUCAGUGGCUCUGAUUCAGAUGCCACCUGCAAGAAAGACUGAAGAUUUUAGAAUGAUACUCUAUCCCUCCUUUCUUUUCAAAGACACGAACAAAUGUGUGCGCGUGCGCGCGCGCACACACACACACACACACACACACACACACUCCCUCGAUGUAAUCGGAGGUGAUAUGGGGACCAGAACAACUCUAAAGGCUACCACCUUCACAUCAAAUCUUGAAGGACCAAUCUUCGGAAACCCAGGGCCCAGAACCCCAGGGGCCGUCAUCGUGUAGAAGUGCUUCCCAGUCGAACACAGGGUCCCACAAGGCUGGGAAGGGAUGCAUGUUCCCAGUGCCUGAGCCCUAGGAACUCUCUACUCCAGAGCCCCCAGCAGUGAGAUGGCCCUGGAAGGUCGCUCCAGCAGCCAUUUGACACCCCCAGUGACUCUGAGUGACAGGCAAUACUGACCUCAGUCGAAGAUCCCAAUCUCUUGUCUCUGUAUUCACCAAGGAGGACCCCGCUCACGCUUCCUUGCUCCCUGCUAUGUCUGAGCUUCCCCCCAGGACACAUAUCUGAGCGGAAAAGCUAGGCGCUGCUGGAAGCAGCUCACCCCUUGCAGAAUUCUCCCCCUCUUCUCUCAGUCCCAGACACACAUGCAGCAUAGUGAGUUUCCCAUUGUAUGAGUCCCAAGACACCAAUACUACUUACAACUUCCCUCCGGAAGAAAAUGCAUGCAUGCAUUCAUUUAUGCAUUCACUCAAACAAACGGCUAUUGAAUGCCUACUAUGUGCCAGGAACUAGGUACUAGAAGACACAGCAGUGAAUGAUACAGAUAACUCCUUGUCUUCAGGAAGCUUCUAUUCUAGGGAGGAAGAACAGAUGAUAAGGAAGCCAACUAAUAAAUACUUUCAGAGUGAUGUUAAGAGGCAGGAGCAGAAUAAUGGAGCACAGAGUGAGGAGACCCAUGUGCAAGCUGCUUUAGAUUGGCUGGUCAGUGAAGACCUUUUUUUUUUUUUUUUAAUGUUUAUUUACUUUUUGAGAGGGAGAGAAAGAGAGACAGAGUGUGAGUGGGGGAAGGGCAGAGAGAGAGGGAGACGCAGAAUCCCAAGCAGGCUCCAGGCUCUGAGCUAUUAGUACAGAGCCCGACGCGGGGCUCAAACUCAGACUGUGAGAUCAUGACCUGAACCGAAGUCGGACGUUUAACCGACUGAGCCACCCAGGUGCUCCUCAGUGAAGACCUUUUAAAGCAAGUGACAUUUGAGCUGAGACCUGUGUGACAAGAGACCAACACAACAGAGAUCUGAGGGACCGGGGCCCCAGGCAGGUGCAACAGCAAAUACCCCUCAGGCAGGAACACACUUCAGUCAAAAUAGAAAUUCCUCAGAAAAGGAAGAGGGAGCCCCAUUAUUCUUUCCUUUGUUAUAAAGGGAGAAACACAGCAAGGCCGUUCCCUGCUCUGGGAUCUCAUGGGGACCCAGCCUCAUAUGUACACCUGUGUGCACAUGCACAUAGGAUCUAACCUGAAGAAUGUACCAAGAAACUUCUCAAACGCUAACAAGGCCAACUUGGGGACCCCUCACCCCACUUUGUGAUGAGAUCUCUAUACUGAAUGGCUCAUGUAUGUAAAGUCCACUGCUCCUGUGCACAUGGUAGGGACACUGAGCAGGUGCUUGAGACACAGCAGUUCCCUAGCCCUCGCCCUUCCCGCUGCCGUGUGCACAAACCUACAUAGGGCCUCUGUGACAUGAGCUGUGUGCUCCAGCCAACCCUGUCCUGCUCCCCUCUGGCAGACCCCUGACCUGGCCUUGCCUCCCAGAGCCUGCUGCUGAAUGGUCAGUGGGCACAGCUGAGGUAGCCAAUAUCUGCCAGGCUACUGAGCACUCACCCCUCCGCCCUCCUGAGCCUCUUCCUAGGCAGGGCCAUGUUGACGGGCAGCAGAAGGUUCCCAGAGAACAAAAAACGGGGGCUGGGAGCCUCAGGAGCAAACAUCUUAUAGGGGCCACGGCCUCCAGAUGUGUCUGCCUUCACACAGAGCCAGUGAAGGAAACUCCUAGCAAGGAUGUGGUGGAACUGAAGUUGGUACGAUCAUGGUCUGGCCACCACCAGUGAGCUCAGCCAGGCAGAAGAGUAGAAGCCCCACGUGAGGUGUUUUCCACAGCACCUCCUCCCCCACCCCUGGCCCCCUGGGGAACCCUACUUAGUCUUGAAGAAACCACUCAAAUGUCACUUCUUCUGUGAAGCCUUUACCAACCAACUCAGGAGGAAUUUAUCACCCGUGAUUCCAAAGCAUUUUGACAUGGCUUUUGCAUACUAUUCUGCUUGUCUGUUUGGAUGCCUGACUUCCCAACUGUCUGUACUCUGAGUUCCCAGAGGGCAGCACAGCAUCUUAUUCAUUUCAUAUUCUCAUUGCCUGGCAGAAAGCAGAUAUAAUAAUACAUAUUAGUCAACAAAACUGAAUACAGGAGAGAAAAAAUGAACGUGUGGGUGAGUAAAUAAAUGAGUGAAUGAAUGAAGUUCGGUACAUUCCAGGAGAUAAGAUCAGCGAGAACAAAUUUUAAUCAGGGCAAAGCAAUCAGGGAACAACCCACAUUUGGAAGCCAACUGUCAGCCUUCUCUGUAGAUUAUGGGGCCCCAGUCACAGUUCUCAGGAAAUCUAUUAUCAAAAUAGUAAUGUGAGGGCAACCCUUAGAUCUCAUUCUCAAAGGUCCCCCAGCCAGACUCCUCAAUCCUCACCCCUGACAGUUCCCCAGAGGGUCACGUCAAGGAGGCAGACUUGGCCAACAGCAGGGGCAUGAACAUGGUUCCAUUCCGGAGCCCUCAGUGGGUGGGGGAGGCACAGGUCUGGCUCACUGGAGAGAGCCAACCCUUGGUGGGCUGUGCAAGGGUCUUCUGGGAUAAGCCAACUGCAGAAGAGGUGUUUCAAGUCUGGGCGGUCUGCACUCAAGAUGUGGGCCAUCACUUUUCUCGGGGCCUCAGUUUCCCCUGUUGUAAAACCAGGAGGCUGAUGAUUAAUCCUCUCCUCCUCAGUGGGAGGAAUUAAAUGUCCAGGAAGCUCUGUGCCUCCCACCCCCGACAAAGCACACUGCCCAGGAAGGAGAGCCAACAAGAGGUCAGAGGCCUGUGCAGAAAAUUGGCAGUUUUACAGGGAAACAGGCACAAAUAUUAGAUUACAGAAGAAGGCACUCUGAGAAGAACUGGCAAUCAGGAUAGAAGGGUAAUGGCCAAAUAUCGACUUUCAUGCUACACAGCUCAUC